UACAGAGGGUGCAAGCGUUAAUCGGAGUUACUGGGCGUAAAGGGCGCGUAGGCGGAUAUUUAAGUCGGUUGUGAAAUACCCGGGCUUAACCUGGGAAUUGCAAUCGAUACUGGAUAUCUAGAGUAUGGGAGAGGAAAGUGGAAUUCCCGGUGUAGCGGUUAAAUGCGUAGAUAUCGGGAAGAACACCAGCGCGAAGGCGACUUUCUGGACCAAUACUGACGCUGAGGCGCGAAAGCGUGGGGAGCAAACAGG
rnacentral:rRNA from 1 species